rnacentral:tRNA from 1 species
GGCUCAAUGGUCUAGUAGUAUGAUUCUCGCUUUGGGUUAGCUUAAAUGCGAGAGGUCCCGGGUUCAAAUCCCGGUUGAGCCC